CCUACGGGAGGCAGCAGUGAGGAAUAUUGGUCAAUGGACGAGAGUCUGAACCAGCCAAGUAGCGUGAAGGAUGACUGCCCUAUGGGUUGUAAACUUCUUUUAUAUGGGAAUAAAAUGUUCCACGUGUGGGAUUUUGUAUGUACCCUAUGAAUAAGGAUCGGCUAACUCCGUGCCAGCAGCCGCGGUAAUACGGAGGAUCCGAGCGUUAUCCGGAUUUAUUGGGUUUAAAGGGAGCGUAGGUGGAUUGUUAAGUCAGUUGUGAAAGUUUGCGGCUCAACCGUAAAAUUGCAGUUGAAACUGGCAGUCUGGAGUAGAGGAGAGGUGGGCGGAAUUCGUGGUGUAGCGGUGAAAUGCUUAGAUAUCACGAAGAACUCCGAGUGCGAAGGCAGCUCACUGGACUGCAACUGACACUGAGGCUCGAAAGUGUGGGUAUCAAACAGGAUUAGAUACCCUAGUAGUC
rnacentral:rRNA from 1 species